UUACUCUGGUUUCUCUUCAGAUUGUAUAAAUCUUUCACCUUUUACUAAAGAUUUCCGUGGAAAGGAAUAAAACUGAGUUAGGAUUAUGCCUUUUGCAUAGCUGGAUAUGGCCCA